AGAAUUAAGCAUUUAUCCUGCCUUUCCAUAAGGCACUGUAUUCAGGGAAAUCCUAGAUGAUCAGGGAAACUCUACAGAAAAAUGACAGCUAAUAAAUGUUAAAGGAAUAAUAGAAUUUAAAAGUCAACAUUUUUUUGCAACCACUAAAUAAAUUAUUAAUCCAGGCAUGGAUUAUCUGUCAAUUGUUGUCAAAACCCAUGUGGCAAAUGGGGUUGACGGAGAACUGGACAUUCCUUGGCUGCAAGAGGAAAACGUGACUUCCCAGUGGUGGGAUCGGACUCUCUCUCCUUCAUCCAUGCUAGUGGUCCACACUAGAAUCAUUAAUGGUGGGACCUCUAGGUACGUGUUCCCUGAUGUGAAGAAUGUCACCUCUGAUGUAAUCUGGUCAUGUAAACUAGACAUGAGGCUGUAAUCAGAGAGACCCAAAAAGUGGAACAUUCUACAGGACCACUGGCCAGCUUCACCAGCAAGUCAGUAGUGAGGAAAAGGAACUGGUCUAGACUAAAGGAGAGUCUUAAAGAACAGAGGACCCAGAUGCAGGAGGUGCUCCUGGACUGGACAGAGGGAGCAGCUGGAAAAGGCAGUGUCGGUACAACUGGGGAGAUUUGAUUUUGGAUUAGGUAUUUGAUGAUAUGAAGGAAUUAUUGUGUGUGAUAGAAUGUUGUUGUUUGGGCUAGGUAGUAGAAUGUUCUUAUCUUUAGUGAUGCAAACCCAAGUGUUUCAGGGUGGAAAUCUUUAAAAUCUUCAGCAUAUAAAAUUAGUGAAAGGUAAACAAAAUAAAUAAAUCCCUGGGGGGUGGGUGUUGAAAGGCUAGCCACUGUGGAUGUGAGGAGAUUCCUGCCACCCUGGCUGACACACUGUGCAAGGGGGUUAGGGGCUACCCAGCAAUCCCCACAUCCAGCACUUAGCCCUCUCCCGCCCCCACCACCCCAGGCUUCUCAAGAACAGACCUACUCAGAGUUAAUGGUGGCCAGCUUUGGAGGGAGAUAGACCUGGGGCCACUCCCAGCUCUAUCACUUAAUGUUAAUAAUA